AGAGUUUGAUCCUGGCUCAGGACGAACGCUGGCGGCGUGCUUAACACAUGCAAGUCGAACGGAGAUUUAAGAGGAAGCUUGCGAAUCUUAAAUCUUAGUGGCGGACGGGUGAGUAACACGUGGAUAACCUGCCUGUAAGACCGGGACAACACCUGGAAACGGGUGCUAAUACCGGGUAAGCUCUUUCUGCCGCAUGGUGAGAAGAGGAGAGGGGAAACCCGCUUACAGAUGGAUCCGCGGCCCAUUAGCUAGUUGGCGGUGUAACGGACCACCAAGGCGACGAUGGGUAGCCGGCCUGAGAGGGUGAUCGGCCACACUGGAACUGAGACACGGUCCAGACUCCUACGGGAGGCAGCAGUGGGGAAUCUUCCGCAAUGGGCGAAAGCCUGACGGAGCAACGCCGCGUGAAUGAUGAAGGCCUUCGGGUUGUAAAAUUC
rnacentral:rRNA from 1 species